rnacentral:rRNA from 1 species
UACGUAGGGGGCAAGCGUUGUCCGGAAUCAUUGGGCGUAAAGAGCGUGUAGGCGGUCCGGUAAGUCGGCUGUGAAAGUCCAGGGCUCAACCCUGGGAUGCCGGUCGAUACUGCCGGACUAGAGUUCGGAAGAGGCGAGUGGAAUUCCCGGUGUAGCGGUGAAAUGCGCAGAUAUCAGGAGGAACACCCAUGGCGAAGGCAGCUAACUGGGCAUUAUCUGACGCUGAGGCGCGAAAGCGUGGGUAGCAAACAGG